GUGAAGGUGGUUAUGCGGUC
rnacentral:piRNA from 1 species